UAAGCACCUUUUAAAAUGUUGUCAUAUAUUUUGUCAAAUGAAAAACAUUUAAAUGCACACAAGACACUAAGGAAAGUAAGGAGUUGCGCUUAAAUUCAAAGGAGUUCCCUCGAAAAUUUUCCAAAUGUUGUAGGGUCCUCGGAUACCUGGCAACAGAAAUGGAGCUCGGAAGAGACAUCUUCAAAAGGACGUUAGAAUUGUCACGUAUGUGUCAAGUUAAGAAUAAGACACACUCGCCAAGAAAUUGCCUCUAAUCUCAGGAUGCCAUUAAUCAAGAAGUUCUGCUAUUGUUUUAGUCUAAGAAGUGGCGCCCUAACAAUUGCGUAUGUAGGUCUCACCAUAGAUGUAUUGGAUUCAGUAGCCACUAUAUAUACUGAGUCGCAGUAUUGCGGUGAUAUAUUACUCCUCUGGAUAAUUUCCACCGUUUGGAAUAUCAUAUCCGAAAUGGUUCUUUUGACUGCACUUCAUCGGUCCUUUGUUCCAGGAUAAUCCGCACCUGCUUCCGGUCCACCUAGUGACUUGUCUCUGUGGCCUGAUCCUCGAAAUGACCAACCACAUGUGGAUUGCCUCCCUCGGUAUAACCGAUUACAUUUUGAUGUCCUAUGCGUUCUUUUUGAUUGCCUGUAAAUGUAGCUGCGGACGUCGUGGUAGUGCUCAGCUACUACCAAUCGGAAAUUUAGUGGACCACUCUGAUUACCCAUUAACCCAGGCAACCGACCGAGCGCAGCAUGCAGCAUUUUGUGGCGCGCGAUUAGGCGCGAAAAUUUAUUUGGAAAAUGUUGCGCAAUCGGGCCGUGCAUAAAUCGUGGCCAAUUGUCACCAGCGGAUUGGCAACCGAACCUCUGCGACCUGCGUUUAAUUAUCGCCCCGCCAGCGCCCGCCGAGCUACAUGCGUGCUAAUUGACCAGGCUGAAGCUCAGCGCUGCUCCAAUCCGAAUCCGAAUCCGACUACAGCUCCAGCUCCGAAUCCCAGUCCCAAUUCCAGUCGCAUUCCCAGUGCAAACGUCCAAAUGAUAACCGCGACGAUGAAAACGCAUGCUGAGCCAAAUGAAAAUUAUGUUGCAAUCGGGCAGGCGUGCUGCCCGCUGGCUGGUCACUGAACCGCAGUUUGCACCACCAUCCAUGGGGCUUAAUUAAUUUCCUUGAUUAAUUGAAAGUGCGCCUUGCUCGCAGUAUUUUCGUUUUCUGUC